GUUUCACACAGCAUGUUUCCCUGAGACAGGCUUUUAACCCACACAUAAGGACCAGAGGAAGGUGUCCAGCUAGUGAAAUCCCUGCUUAUGAGGAGACAUCAACGCUCCUAGUUGCACACAACUGUGAAUGCACAUAUUUGGUGGGUAAAUAAAAAAAUAUCCAAGACAAAACAUUCUGCAGCCAUCCCAUACUGGUAUCCACAGUCAGCACCUGGGAGAGAAGCCACAUACACAUGUGCCCAAGCCUAGGUGAACACACGCACCCAGAGGAACCCCGGGACUGAAUGAAGCCAGCAGAAACCUCCGGGAAGCCCCUAGGACUGGCACCCCGUGGCACUGAAAGGCACCAGGACAGACGGAAGAGUCAGCCCUUUUAGGAGCUUCUGCGCAUCCCGGUGCCAACAUCCCCGCACCGAAGGGCACCCAGCUAGGGUACCAGAGAUCGGGACAUGCCCCUGGUCCCGGGUGGCUCCGGGGCCAGCCCGCAGCCACCCCUCACCGGCACCCCCAGAGGCAGGCGGGGUCCGUGCCCGGGUCUGGCCCGCGGGCCGGCCCCUCCGGGUGUCGGUGGGUGGCAUUUUUCCCUCAAAAUCCGCGGAGCAGCAGCGGCGCACCCCGGCACCCGAGCGACGAAGAGCGGCGUGGGAGCAAGCCCCGGCCGGGGUGGGCCGGAGCCGCCCGCCGCCGUCAGGGGAAGGGGCGGGCGCCAUCGCUCCGCCCGCCCACCCUCUCUCGCCCCGCUCCUCCUCCGCGCUUCCGCCCCUGGCCCUCAGCGGGGCGGGGGUCUCACCAUCCCGGAGCAGAGGCUGAUAACGGCGGUGAGCCGAGGGCGGGCGUUGACGUGCCCCCGGUAGAAGCAGUGCUUCACAUCGGCGUCGGCCGCCUCGGCGUAGAGGCGCCGUUGGUCUGCGGCGGGCUCUCCCAGGAGGCUGACGGUGAAGAGCGGGGCGAUGAAGGCCGAGCUGGCCGUCAGGUUGAAGAGGAACUGCUGCCCGAAGGCGGACAGCCUGUAGUGUGCCUUCGGGGAGUCGGCGGCAGCCGCCGUCCAGGCGUCGGGGGCAGCACUGGUGCUCCGCCGGCGCCGCCUGAAGUGGACAUCGGUGGGGAAGGGCUCACCGAACUCAUUCACUCGGGUAGGAGUCACGAUCUCGUACUCGCUGAGCUUCUCCAGCAGCUGGGCUGCGAGGGGACAGACGCUGAGUGAAGUGGCCGAGCCCCGCGGCCCCGGGGGGCGGCAGCGCAGCACUCCCCGCGCCCCUCCCCGAGCACCCCCUUACCUUGCCUGGGGUGCAGCUUCUGCCUCCUCGCUGCCGUCCUCCAGCCGUCGAUGAAGAGCGUGCUUGAAGAAGUGGAUCAGCAAUUGAAGAAUCCCGUGUGGCACUUACAGCAGUUGUUUUCUUCUGCAUUUCUCAGAUAAGAGGCAAUUCAAGCAACUUUUGUUCAGGAUUAGUUUUGUGUUGUGCACUUUUCAGGCACCCUGAGGCAAAAGGAAGAUUAUAUCCUUAUCUGAGUUUAUUUUGUUUUGUUGUACAGUUUGAAAGGUCUCUGUAAAAAUUUAAGACAUCCUUUAGAGCUACAUAUAAUUGUGUUGGCUUCUACCCCUCCUUCAAAUCAAAACCCUCAGCCUUGGUUUAAAAGGUUUUAAAACCUUUAAAACCCGUAAGCAAGCCAAAAGAGAAGUUUGGAAGUUCAGUUUGCACUUCCAUAGAAAACGUCAAAGUUCUUUACAUUCUUUGCUCACUUUGGCACAAGGCACAGAAAUGUUGGUAUUUUCUGCAGAAAGUUCUAUAAUAAAAAUCAAAUCAGAAUCCACUUCUGGGCAAAAUGGCACCUCCUGACUCUUCAAAACAACUGGUGGAGUCCUACAAACCUCAGCUAUUAAGAGUCAAUUAUUAAUUUUCUAUGAUGAAUGUAAAAGAGUAAAUAAAGCAUCACCUGCAAAGCUGUGCAUCUUCAACCCUGCUACUGGCUGGCCAGGGUUGCAGGGCUGAGAGGCAGAGCCUCGACAGUGCAGGAAUCUCCAGGAUUGUGGAGACCAAGUCAGCACAUCCUUAGGGCAAGGUGUAAUGGCACAUAACCUCCCUGCAUGGCAUUGUUCCCACGCUUAUAAACCAGGUUUAAUUAAAAUCUUGGAUACUUACUGAGAGAUAACUCACCCGUAUCUCCCUGAGCUGCAGUGCUUGCAGAGCACCCUGAGCCCUGACCACCUCCCUACAAUGUCCAUAUGUACCCCAAACCUUUCAGUCUUCACAGAGAGAGAUACAGCAUGCUUGAGCUUGGGAUAAUGCUCCAGAAAUCAUGGGAGAAGGAAGGUUAGGCUGUAUCCCGAGCUCAGGUGGGUGUGGACACAUUUCCCAGGAGUGCCAGGGGGAGCCUGUGCUGCCAUUUGGGCAUGUGGAGCAAUAUUGAGCAGCUGAUCAGCAAAGGGGGAGUGAGGAAAAGUGAACCGAGUUGCCUGAGGAAGGGGAGGUGAAAAGCUUAACAUAGCAUUAGGGCUGAGUCAGAGGGGAGGGGAGGAGGCUUACGUGGAGCUUGUCCUGCCAGUGUCUGGGAAAGAGGGGUGCAGCCUUCAGGCCUCUGAUCAGCAGUGUUGGGAAACAGGUCUGGUUUAUCUGGGCUGCCCCUGGGCGUCCCCAUUUCACAAAUGUCCUCUCCCACAUCCCAUCACUCUCAGCCUCAGCACCCCCCUGCCAUGUCAGGGGCUAAUGAGCUGCCUUGCUUCUGUUAGCUCACUGUCACAGGAAAAGUUACCAAAGCUUUGGAGUUUUUUUUCCUCCUUAGUUUUCUACAAGGUGACCAGUUAAUUUGGCUCUGGGGUGAGGUUGGAUGGAGCUCAGGAGCUGGUAGAGGCUGAGAAGUGACAGCACAUGCCUGUGACUUGGCUGGGUAGGACCCUUCCCUUUUUGGCACUGAGCUGAAUGGAGCAAGGUUGUUUUGUGGAGCAUCCUCACAGCCUCACCCACUGAUCUGACACCACCAACCUGAGGGAAGGCGAGAAACACAACUCCAUCAUUUAGAGAAGAGGGGAUCCAACUCAUGGGACUCCAUUAUGGGGCAGAGUUGGGAGCGGUCUGAAACCUCCCAGGACCAAAUCCUGGCUUCGCAAUGGCACUAAACAUACAUUUAUGCAUUCCAUGCAGCAUGACAUGACUUCCAGAGCCAUUUCCAUCAAUGUGCACAAGUUGUAUGUUCUGUGGCAUUUUGAAUCUUUACAGCUGGAGAUUAGUAAGUGCAGAAUGAAAGCUGUACUGUGAGUAAAUAGAUUAUGUGGAGCUUAGAGAAACUAAGCUGCAAUCUUAAAUUCAAAUAACUUUCCUAUUAGGAAGGAUCUAUUAAUACUUACGGUAUGGUAACUGUGCAGACUCCAAGUCCUCACCCAGUCAAAAGUAAGACUUAAGAGCCCCUACCUACCCAUAGAAAAAUCCCCUUAAAACACUGGGAAUUUUGCCUAUGUAAAUACUGCAGAACUUGAGCUGCAAAUGCCUCUCGUAUAAACUACAAAAUCAGAACUUGAUUGCAACAGCAAAACUUCAGUGAGAAAUUUAAGGCAGUGCACACUGCUGCAAGAAUACACUUGAAGAACCCAGAUUUCCUGAGGUUUUUGUACUGCUUUUCCCCCUUGUUACCAUUUAAUUUUCACUAUAGGUGAGGCCAUCUCCAGUACUAAUCUUUGUUUUUUGUGGCUCAGUCUCUCUGGGCAAGCAUCAUCUUCCUUUAUCUGCUGCAUCCUCUUGCUUGCCCAACCAUUAUCCCACAAGGCAGACAGUUUCUCUUUGAUGGUUGCCCCUCAAUGCUACAAGAUAUCUGAAACAGCCAACUCUUUUCCUUCUGUCUAAUCUGUGUGGUCAGAAAGUGAAAGAUUUCAUUCUCUUCAAACAGGUGACCACCCUCUCCUGCCUCUCUCAUUCAUCUGCUGAUGCUAGUAAAAAGGAUACCACUCUGGACUGCCUUUCUCUUUGUUUUGAAAGCUCUCAUAGAGGCUUCUCUUUAAAGACAUUUUCAGCAGUUGUGUCAAAGCUGGAUUUUUAAGUUUUGUAAGCCUUUCACAUUUGUUUGGAGGGACUGAAACUUGCAAGUUCUUGGUGUAUACUUAAUUUUCAUAUUUAUCUGUGCCAAGCCAACUCUUUUUGGUCCUCGUUAAAAGGAUUUAAAUACACUCAUCUACUGUAGUCCUUUAAGCUCCUGCUUCCUCCCUGGGGUUUUCUUCUUACCCCAUGUAGUAUGCUGCUGCCAUCAAGGUCUGAAUCACUGGGUUCUUUGGGAGUUUGCUCCUCUGACCGUAGGAGGCUGGGAAGUGCUCCCUGCCAUUCCCAGCAAUACCAGCACUGUACUGCUGUCACAACCCGCUCUCCGUGGGCCCAUAUCCUGGUCCCCAUUUUAGGGCCAGUGGCUGAGGGAGAUGUGAAAUGAUAUGCCAGGAUGCUGCAGAGCCAUCAGUGCCAUCCCACUCCCCUGAACACUGAGAUGUGCACAUUGAGUGACUAAUUCAAGGUUACCCAGGCCAAUAAUACCCAAACAUCCUUCAUCUCAGUCCUGGGUCAAACUGGGCAACUCAAACAUCUUCCCAGCCAGUGCAUUGCAGCAGGAGCUGUGUCCUGUGAGAGCCAUCCAUUGCUCUGCACCCUGGUGUAAGGUGGGGCACAGUGGAAAUGCAGGGUAGCCUUGUCCUUGCAGAUAACAUCCCUGCUGUCUGCCUGGGUAGGGAAUCACCAUUUGGGAACAGAAGUUGAAGGAGGGAACACAAACAAGUCUGUUUCACUGCUCCACUCACAUGCAGGGAAACUGGCCUUCAGCUUGCCUCAGAAACAGCUUUGACCCUGGAAAACAGAUACAUGAAGUAGGAACUAGGGACUGGGUGGGAGGAACAGCGAAGCCCACGUAGACACUGCAAAUGUGUGGGAUUUUCAUCUUCAGGUCAGCACGGAUGGACAUAAUGAUCCCUUGAGGCUCUCCACUUGAAACUGCUGGUUCCAGCUUGUCCCUCCCCUGCUCCCGGCAUUGCUGCUGACUGUUCACACACUGCUCCUUUUCCUUACACCUCUUAUCUGCCACGUGGAAAGUGCUCAGGGUAGCCCAGCUUCUGGGUCGCGCUGCAGCCUGGCAGUUCCUUUGGUCUAAUAAGCAGUUAUAGAUCCCAUCUCCCCUUUUACUACAGGUAAACCUGGGAGAGGUCCUAAAGUAGCUAAGAAACACUUAAUUCUGAAUCUUCCCAUUUUUUGUGCAAAUUAAGCCACAUCAAGCUAAACAUUCUAUUAGUUUAUCUUUUGUGUUUGCAAUGUCACUUUGCAAUCUCACAUGGUAUAAAUCAAACAGGACCUGAAUACACUCCUCGUGACUUUUGAUAUUAUGAACUUACGCAUGUAUGCUAUGUUUCAGGUGCCUUUGCCAAAACAUUAACAGUAAUAUUCGGAGGACUAAAUAGAGCAGAUGUUCUGUAAUCCCACACCAAAAGGCAACCUGGGAAUGUUGGAAAUUAUACAGGUACAAAAAGCUUUAUCCCUCGAGUCAUGUACUUUUCUUAUAUAAACAAAUUAUCGUAACAGCUCUGUUAGGUGUCACCAUCACCUUAUGAAAAAAAGACUGAGAUGAUUGAUUCGGCAAAGAACAUGGGGUCAUGGAGCUCUGGCCUCAUUGUAGUUCCACCCUCCCUCUCCAUCUUGUCUGCAGCCUAAGUGUAUAAUGUAAUAUUUCAGUGCAGGGAUCAUUAAACUGUAAAACUCUA